GAGGGCAUAGCUCAGUGGCUGAGUGCGUGCUUAGCAUGCACAAGGUUCUGGAUUCAACCCCCAGUACCUCCA
rnacentral:tRNA from 1 species